UACGGGGGGAGCAAGCGUUGUUCGGAUUUACUGGGCGUAAAGAGCGUGUAGGCGGCCAAGCAGGUCCGUUGUGAAAACUGGAGGCUUAACCUCCAGACGUCGACGGAAACCGCGUGGCUAGAGUCCGGAAGAGGAGAGUGGAAUUCCUGGUGUAGCGGUGAAAUGCGCAGAUAUCAGGAAGAACACCAAUGGCGAAGGCAGCUCUCUGGGACGGUACUGACGCUGAGACGCGAAAGCGUGGGGAGCGAACAGG
rnacentral:rRNA from 1 species